rnacentral:rRNA from 1 species
UGGGGAAUAUUGCACAAUGGGCGAAAGCCUGAUGCAGCAACGCCGCGUGAGUGAUGAAGGCCUUCGGGUUGUAAAGCUCUGUCUUUUGGGACGAUAAUGACGGUACCAAAGGAGGAAGCCACGGCUAACUACGUGCCAGCAGCCGCGGUAAUACGUAGGCGGCAAGCGUUGUCCGGAUUUACUGGGCGUAAAGGAUGCGUAGGCGGAUUUUUAAGUGAGAUGUGAAAACCCUAAGCUUAACUUGGGGACUGCAUUUCAUACUGGAAAUCUAGAGUGCGGGAGAGGAGAAUGGAAUCCCUAGUGUAGCGGUGAAAUGCGUAGAGAUUAGGAAGAACACCAGUGGCGAAGGCGAUUCUCUGGACCGUAACUGACGCUGAGGCAUGAAAGCGUGGGUAGCAAACAGGAUUAGAUACCCUGGUAGUCCACGCCGUAAACGAUGAGUACUAGGUGUAGGAGGUAUCGACCCCUUCUGUGCCGCAGUUAACACAAUAAGUACUCCGCCUGGGAAGUACGAUCGCAAGAUUAAAACUCAAAUGAAUUGACGGGGUCAUAGCUGUUUUCCU